CAAUAUUAUGCAAAUGUUUCACUUGAUGAUUACACAGUUUUAAAUAAAAGAACCUACAAUUGGUGGUAGUAAUGGCUGCAAAACUAUCAAAAUAAUCUUCACUACAGCUCAUUCAACAGCCUCCUAUAAGGAAAAAUUAAGAAAAAAAUGAUAUAAUAAUCCCAGUGAGUGGAGUGCUUAAAAGAUGGUUGUACUGUCCUUUAUGUAUGUAUAUAUAAUUAUAUACAACAAGAUGAAUAAAUGCAUUAGACGAAUUCAAUAAUCUACAACCAUAAUCUGAAAUCCAUGAGCUAAACUAUAAACGGGGAAAUGUAAGUUGAAGGCUAAUAACCCACUACAAACAUAAAAUUCACAUUAAAAUAUACCCCAUGUAAACAUCUACUCAUGAUCUGAAAGCUAUAACAUCAUAUGCAUAUAAAUUGUCUGAUCAAUACUUUGAACACGGUGGUAGACCCUCAGUGUACAAUAUGGAAACAACAUAAUCAUCCUUAUAAAUGGCUGUAGCCCCUGAGGGUAUAAUAGAUACCUUUACCCACGGUCAUAGCCUCCUAGUAAAUAAGAGUGACCUUUACACAUGGAUGUAGCCCCUCAGUGUAUAUGAGUUAAAUACAUGACUCUAGUACACGGUUGUAGCCCCUCAGUGCACUAGAGUAAGAUAAUCACAUCAAUUAUUUUCUGAUAAUUUCAAAACAAUCAUGCUCAUUUACUAAUAUAUCAAAAAUAAGACAUUUCAUGUAAUUAAUAUGCUUCUAUAAAAUAAAAAGAAAAUCUUCUUUUUGCAAAAGUAGGUUCUCCACACACAGAUAUAGGCUAGACUAAUAGGGCUGGUAUGUUGUUUCCACAUCCAAAUCCCCUCCUGAAAUGAUCAUACAUAUAAACCACUUCAAUUCCAUCCAUAUAUACAGUUACAAGGGAUUUCUCAAUAAUAACCCCUACUUAUGAUCAAAAUAAAAUAUCUAUCCCUCAAUAAGCAAUAAGCUGAGACUUAAUAUUUCUAUUUCAUUUGGUUACUUAAGCAUACGAUCACUUAAUGUUCGAAUCAUUCUACAUUCCUAACUCGUUAAUACUAACCUUUCCUGGCUGCCCUGUCAAGAUUCAACAAACUUUUCAUGAUAAUAAUCAUCCACAUUCCUUGAAUACAUAAAUCUUAUCAAAAACUCCUUUCUUAUAUUCUCCAUAUUAAUCCAAACUGAGAACUUGAGCACAAGUUAUUCUCAACCAAUCUAACUUACCAUACAACAAUCACAAGGGAAAAUAACAAGAAUGCUAAUUUUUCCCCAAAUUUUCGGAUUAACCCACAUAUAACAAAACCCUAAUAUCUAAAUAUUAUUUCUUCCAAUCCACUAGAAUAAAUAGCUCAAAAUACUCAAAUAGUUAGCUUCCUUAUCAUAUUUUUCAAGUAUAAGCUAUAAAUUUAAAACCCUAAAAAAAAUCUACCAAAACUAAACCAUAAAUUCUUAACCUUACCUCUUGAAGAAUUAAAUAAGCAAGAUUGAAGUAGUUGGCAUAAGAUUUCUUCUUUCUUUUUUCCUUUCCUUCUCUUUUUCCUUUCUUUCUUUUUCUUUUCUAUUCUUUUUCCUUGGUUUUUCCCCCUUCUAUGGGUUCUCUCUCUCUCAACAGAUUCUAGUAUGUGUUUUUGUGUGACUUGGGAGAAAAAUAUGGUCAAAGGUUGAAUAUAAAGGCCCACUUGUUCAAAAUUGCAAAGGAA
rnacentral:lncRNA from 1 species